GCUGGGUAUAGUGGUGCACACCUGUAAUCCCAGCAGCUGGGGAGGCUGAGGCAGGAGGCUCACACAUUCAAAGCCAGCCUCAGCAACUUAAUGAGAUCUUGUCUCUA
rnacentral:sRNA from 1 species